rnacentral:rRNA from 1 species
AGAGUUUGAUCCUGGCUCAGGAUGAACGCUAGCGACAGGCUUAACACAUGCAAGUCGAGGGGCAGCGGGGGAGUAGCAAUACUCCCGCCGGCGACCGGCGCACGGGUGAGUAACACGUAUGAAACCUGCCCGUAGCAGGGGGAUAAGCGGAAGAAAUUCCGUCUAAUACCGCGUAACAACCCUUGGAGGCAUCUCCUCGGGUUUAAAGGGAGCGAUUCCGGCUACGGAUGGUCAUGCGUCGCAUUAGCUUGUUGGCGGGGUAACGGCCCACCAAGGCGACGAUGCGUAGGGGUUCUGAGAGGAAGGUCCCCCACACUGGUACUGAGACACGGACCAGACUCCUACGGGAGGCAGCAGUGAGGAAUAUUGGUCAAUGGCCGCAGGGCUGAACCAGCCAAGUCGCGUGAGGGAUGACGGUCCUAUGGAUUGUAAACCUCUUUUGUCAGGGAGCAAAGGGCGUCACGUGUGGCGUUUUGCGAGUACCUGAAGAAAAAGCAUCGGCUAACUCCGUGCCAGCAGCCGCGGUAAUACGGAGGAUGCGAGCGUUAUCCGGAUUUAUUGGGUUUAAAGGGUGCGCAGGCGGAAUGUCAAGUCAGCGGUAAAAUUUCGGGGCUCAACCCCGUCGUGCCGUUGAAACUGGUGUUCUUGAGUGAGCGAGAAGUAUGCGGAAUGCGUGGUGUAGCGGUGAAAUGCAUAGAUAUCAGGCAGAACUCCGAUUGCGAAGGCAGCAUACCGGCGCUCAACUGACGCUCAUGCACGAAAGCGUGGGUAUCGAACAGGAUUAGAUACCCUGGUAGUCCACGCAGUAAACGAUGAAUACUAACUGUCCGGGCAGAAUGAUGUCUGGGUGGUACAGCGAAAGCGUUAAGUAUUCCACCUGGGGAGUACGCCGGCAACGGUGAAACUCAAAGGAAUUGACGGGGGCCCGCACAAGCGGAGGAACAUGUGGUUUAAUUCGAUGAUACGCGAGGAACCUUACCCGGGCUCAAACGACGGAUGGAUGUUUCUGAAAGGAGGCAGUCCUACGGGACAUCCGUCGAGGUGCUGCAUGGUUGUCGUCAGCUCGUGCCGUGAGGUGUCGGCUUAAGUGCCAUAACGAGCGCAACCCCCAUCGCCAGUUACCAGCAAGUAAAGUUGGGGACUCUGGCGAGACUGCCGGCGCAAGCUGUGAGGAAGGCGGGGAUGACGUCAAAUCAGCACGGCCCUUACGUCCGGGGCGACACACGUGUUACAAUGGCAGGUACAGAGAGAUGCGAUGUGGCGACGCAGAGCGGAACUUCAAAGCCUGUCUCAGUUCGGAUUGGAGUCUGCAACCCGACCCCAUGAAGCUGGAUUCGCUAGUAAUCGCGCAUCAGCCACGGCACGGUGAAUACGUUCCCGGGCCUUGCACACACCGCCCGUCA